UAAGGAAUAUUGGUCAAUGGAGGCAACUCUGAACCGGCCAUGCCGCGUGGAGGAUGAAGGUCCUCUGGAUUGUAAACUUCUUUUAUAUGGGACGAAAAAAGGCUUUUCUAAGUCGUCUGACGGUACCAUAUGAAUAAGCACCGGCUAACUCCGUGCCAGCAGCCGCGGUAAUACGGAGGGUGCAAGCGUUAUCCGGAUUCACUGGGUUUAAAGGGUGCGUAGGUGGGUUGGUAAGUCAGUGGUGAAAUCCCCGAGCUUAACUUGGGAACUGCCAUUGAUACUAUCAGUCUUGAAUACCGUGGAGGUCGGCGGAAUAUGUCAUGUAGCGGUGAAAUGCUUAGAUAUGACAUAGAACACCAAUUGCGAAGGCAGCUGGCUACGCGGAUAUUGACACGUGAGGAC
rnacentral:rRNA from 1 species